rnacentral:rRNA from 1 species
AGGCGUAGGCGAUGGAUAACAGGUUGAUAUUCCUGUACCACCUAUAAUCGUUUUAAUCGAUGGGGGGACGCAGUAGGAUAGGCGAAGCGUGCGAUUGGAUUGCACGUCUAAGCAGUAAGGCUGAGUAUUAGGCAAAUCCGGUACUCAUUAAGGCUGAGCUGUGAUGGGGAGAAGACAUUGUGUCUUCGAGUCGUUGAUUUCACACUGCCGAGAAAAGCCUCUAGAUAGAAAAUAGGUGCCCGUACCGCAAACCGACACAGGUAGUCAAGAUGAGAAUUCUAAGGUGAGCGAGCGAACUCUCGUUAAGGAACUCGGCAAAAUGACCCCGUAACUUCGGGAGAAGGGGUGCUCUUUAGGGUUAACGCCCAGAAGAGCCGCAGUGAAUAGGCCCAAGCGACUGUUUAUCAAAAACACAGGUCUCUGCUAAACCGUAAGGUGAUGUAUAGGGGCUGACGCCUGCCCGGUGCUGGAAGGUUAAGAGGAGUGGUUAGCUUCUGCGAAGCUACGAAUCGAAGCCCCAGUAAACGGCGGCCGUAACUAUAACGGUCCUAAGGUAGCGAAAUUCCUUGUCGGGUAAGUUCCGACCCGCACGAAAGGCGUAACGAUUUGGGCACUGUCUCAACGAGAGACUCGGUGAAAUCAUAGUACCUGUGAAGAUGCAGGUUACCCGCGACAGGACGGAAAGACCCCGUGGAGCUUUACUGUAGCCUGAUAUUGAAAUUCGGCACAGCUUGUACAGGAUAGGUAGGAGCCUUUGAAACGUGAGCGCUAGCUUACGUGGAGGCGCUGGUGGGAUACUACCCUAGCUGUGUUGGCUUUCUAACCCGCACCACUUAUCGUGGUGGGAGACAGUGUCAGGCGGGCAGUUUGACUGGGGCGGUCGCCUCCUAAAAGGUAACGGAGGCGCUCAAAGGUUCCCUCAGAAUGGUUGGAAAUCAUUCAUAGAGUGUAAAGGCAUAAGGGAGCUUGACUGCGAGACCUACAAGUCGAGCAGGGUCGAAAGACGGACUUAGUGAUCCGGUGGUUCCGCAUGGAAGGGCCAUCGCUCAACGGAUAAAAGCUACCCCGGGGAUAACAGGCUUAUCUCCCCCAAGAGUUCACAUCGACGGGGAGGUUUGGCACCUCGAUGUCGGCUCAUCGCAUCCUGGGGCUGUAGUCGGUCCCAAGGGUUGGGCUGUUCGCCCAUUAAAGCGGUACGCGAGCUGGGUUCAGAACGUCGUGAGACAGUUCGGUCCCUAUCCGUCGUGGGCGUAGGAAAUUUGAGAGGAGCUGUCCUUAGUACGAGAGGACCGGGAUGGACAUACCUCUGGUGUACCAGUUGUCGUGCCAACGGCAUAGCUGGGUAGCUAUGUGUGGACGGGAUAAGUGCUGAAAGCAUCUAAGCAUGAAGCCCCCCUCAAGAUGAGAUUUCCCAACUUCGGUUAUAAGAUCCCUCAAAGAUGAUGAGGUUAAUAGGUUCGAGGUGGAAGCAUGGUGACAUGUGGAGCUGACGAAUACUAAUCGAUCGAAGACUUAAUCAA